GUUUUACCUUGACGAAUUGUAGUUUAAAGAAGUGUUUUCUGUUGGUGUUUUGGUAAAAGUUCUUUGGAAUAGGACAUCAUAGAGGGUGAGAAUCCCGUAUUUGACCAUUACUUCCAGCGUUGUAAUACACUUUCAAAGAGUCGGAUUGUUUGGGAAUGCAGUCCAAAAUGGGUGGUAAAUUUCAUCUAAAGCUAAAUAUUGGCGAGAGACCGAUAGCGAACAAGUACCGUGAGGGAAAGAUGAAAAGAACUUUGAAAAGAGAGUUAAACAGUACGUGAAAUUGUCAAAAGGGAAGCGUUUGACACCAGUGUUGUUUUCUCGAAAAUCAAUUAAAAAGUGUUGGAUUUUGUAUUGUUAAGACCUUAUCAGCUUACUGUACUCUUUUCCUGCUCUUUUU
rnacentral:rRNA from 1 species